CUUCCACUUUCUCCACUUAUCUUCAGGUUCCAUGCCCAUUUCUUCGAGAACUCUUCCUGCCAAACAACAAAUGGAGGCUAAAAGAAUACAUCUAUGUGAAGCUCUGGGUAUCCAUCUCCAAACAACGUGAAAUUUGGGUGCCAGCUGAUGGAUACUAAUUUGGCUCCUUGAUUCCAGUAUGUUGGUGACUCUAUGAUUUUUGAUUUUUGAAUUGUUACAACAAAAUAUUUGUUCAAGGGUGCUAGCAGAAAUGCUCCUUUUAAAUGAGGUAAGCCACUUCUUUGUUUGAAGUGCCUUGAAAAGAAGAGUUCUGAUCGGCACUGUGAGCACGCGAUUUUUGUUUUUGCGUGACAGUCGCUCCAAAAGAAUAAAAAUUGGUCCUGCUGUACAAUUUUUGA